UACGUAGGGUGCGAGCGUUAAUCGGAAUGACUGGGCGUAAAGGGUGCGUAGGCGGUUUGCUAAGACGGAUGUGAAAUCCCUGGGCUCAACCUAGGAACAGCAUACGUGACUGGCAGGCUAGAGUAUCGAAGAGGGGGGUAGAAUUCCACGUGUAGCAGUGAAAUGCGUAGAGACGUGGAGGAAUACCGAUGGCGAAGGCAGCCCCCUGGUCAGAUACUGACGCUGAGGCACGAAAGCGUGGGGAGCAAACAGG
rnacentral:rRNA from 1 species